rnacentral:rRNA from 1 species
UCUUUUUGGAGAGUUUGAUCCUGGCUCAGGAUGAACGCUGGCGGCGUGCCUAAUACAUGCAAGUCGAGCGAAUCUGAGGGAGCUUGCUCCCAAAGAUUAGCGGCGGACGGGUGAGUAACACGUGGGCAAUCUGCCUGUAAGACUGGGAUAACUUCGGGAAACCGGAGCUAAUACCGGAUAAUAUUGAGAACCGCAUGGUUCUCUAUUAAAAGAUGGUUUCGGCUAUCACU